AGUAAGGCCACACUGUCCUGAACACUCUUGAUGUCAUCCAAUCUUGGAAGCAGGGUUGGGCCUGGUUAGUACUUGGACGGGAGACCGCCUGGGAAUACCAGGUGCUGUAACUG
rnacentral:rRNA from 1 species